rnacentral:rRNA from 1 species
CACUAUGCCUGGCCCUAAACAUUGAUAGUUAAAUACACUCACUAUCCGCCCGGGAACUACGAGCAAAACUUGAAACCCAAAGGACUUGGCGGUGCUUUAGACCCAUCUAGAGGAGCCUGUCCUAGAACCGAUAAUCCCCGUUCAACCUUACCUUUUCUUGUUUAUUCCGCCUAUAUACCGCCGUCGUCAGCUUACCCUCUGAAGGUCAUGUAGUAAGCAAAGUUAGUAUUAACCCCAUACGUCAGGUCGAGGUGUAGCUUAUGUUAAGGAAAGAGAUGGGCUACAUUUACUAUUUUUAGUAAACUACGAACGAUGCCUUGAAACUCCGCAUCUGAAGGUGGAUUUAGUAGUAAGCAGAAAGCAGUGAGUUCUGCUGAAACUUGGCUCUGAAGCGCGCACACACCGCCCGUCACUCUCCCCAAAUAAACGCUCUGACUAAAAUUAUAAAGCCAAGAAUAGUAAGGGGAGGCAAGUCGUAA